GUUAAUUGCGCAUUGGCUAGCGUUGUUUUUGUUGUAUGUGGAAUGAGUGAAAAUUAAACCAAAGCGGAAUGGAUAGAAUGAGUGGAUGCAGAGUAAAUGUGUAGAGUACUCGCAUAAAAUUUUGGCAUUCUCUUCAUUCAUGGCAUGCAGAGCAGACGCAGCAGAGCAGAAAUUUUAUAAUAAUAAAAAUCCAGAGCUCGGACGAAAUCUCUACCACGUGCAGUCUUUUCCAUGUGUUUGUAUUACAAACAAACUUUGUAAUCACCUUUCGGAUGCAGCCGUAUCUACGCAAAAAUCCAAACUUUUAAAUGGAGAGUAUAUUUUCAACCUUAAAAAGGGACGUAGUAAAGUUUGGGAAAUAUUCGCCAAUAUAAAAGAAAAGGAUGGAGAGGACAUAUCUGGUGUAGUUGCCUGCAAAAAGUGCUACAGUGUGUAUAAAUUUACUGGAAGCACUUCAAACUUAAAUUAUUGCUAACAAUUCUAAUACAGUAAACCAAAUAAUGUUUCUCCAUUCUGUUAUUGAAAAUUAAAAUAAAUAAAAUAUAUACUUAUACAUAAAAAUUA